rnacentral:rRNA from 1 species
UGCCAGCAGCCGCGGUAAUACGAAGGGGGAUAGCGUUGUUCGGAAUUACUGGGCGUAAAGCGCACGUAGGCGGAUCAGAAAGUUGGGGGGGAAAUCCCGGGGCUUAACCCCGGAACUGCCCUCAAAACUGUCGAUCUAGAGACCGGGAGAGGUAAGCGGAAUUCCUAGUGUAGAGGUGAAAUUCGUAGAUAUUCGGAGGAACACCAGUGGCGAAGGCGGCUCACUGGCUCGAUACUGACGCUGAGGUGCGAAAGUGUGGUGAGCAAACAGGAUUAGAUA